CUGGUUGAUCCUGCCAGUAGUCAUAUGCUUGUCUCAAAGACUAAGCCAUGCAUGUCUAAGUAUAAAUGUUAUACAGUGAAACUGCGGAUGGCUCAUUAAAACAGUUAUAGUUUAUUUGAUAAUCGAAUUUACAUGGAUAACCGUGGUAAUUCUAGAGCUAAUACAUGCUGGUUAGCCUGACUUCGAGGAAGGGCUGUAUUUAUUAGAUAACAAACCAAUAUUCUUCGUGUCUAUUGUGAUGACUCAUAAUAACUGAUCGAAUCGCAUGGUCCUUGACCGCGAUAAAUCAUUCAAGUUUCUGCCCCAUCAGCUUUCGAUGGUAGUGUAUUGGACUACCAUGGCUUUAACGGGUAACGGAGGAUUAGGGUUCGAUUCCGGAGAGGGAGCCUGAGAAACGGCUACCACAUCUAAGGAAGGCAGCAGGCGCGUAAAUUACCCAAUCCUGACUCAGGGAGGUAGUGACAAGAAAUAACGGACCGAGGCUUUGCUUCGGGAUUGCAAUGAGUAGAAUUUAAACCCCUUUACGAGGAUCCAUUGGAGGGCAAGUCUGGU
rnacentral:rRNA from 1 species